GUAUUUUUUUAACUUAAUUUAAUUUUUUGGCAUUGGAAAAAAAAGAGGACAAAGGUACCUCCCACCACUGGAAUCUCUUGCCAGUGGCCUGGCACAGACUGGCACCAUCUGCGUUUUAGAAGUCACCUGAUCGUUAGGGGGUCUACGCGAGGUGAGGGAGGAGACGAAAAGCCCUUUGCCGGCUGCAAAGCCAGAGAGGGGGUCCCAAGGAGGACAGAGAGCCUAAUUUGCCCUGGAAGUGGGGAAAGGGCUGUCCCCGGUCCUCGGAGGAUCCGUUAGGAGAUUUGUGGAGCUCUCCAGGGCCCCCGGCUGCACUCGGCACUGUUCACUUGCUGUUCACCUGCUGUUCUAUCUGCCAGUGGGACCCAAAGGGAGGCAGGGCCCGGCUGCUGGGGUUGCAUCACUUAGGCUAGGACAGCCAAUAAAGCAAAAGGACAGCAGGGGGUAAAGAGCUGAAUCUCUGGGCUCUGAGAUCUUAGUCUCCCAUGAUCCUCACCCCCCACCGUGGCCUCUUGGGAAUCACAUUUCUAAGCUCAAAGCUAACCCGAUGCCUUUUCUUUAGGUCACUUCCCCAGCCCCCACUAUAGCAUGCCCACCCAAAAUCCCUCUUUCUGCCAAGACUUCUGGAGAGAUGAGUGGGGUUUUGUCGAGACAGCCCCGGAUUGUAAAAUCUCUGCCCUGCUGCUCUGAACACAGCGCCCGGUUGUUCUCCACAUCCAGGGAGUGGUGCAAGGAGGUUUGGGCCGGGACCCUUCUGGGGGCCUGUCCCUGGGGUGUCCCUCCUGGCAUGUGCCCCAACAAGUUCUCCCCAGGUCUAUCAAACCCGGGAUCAGCCGAGAGCCUGUCUGACUUGCCCACUCUACCCUCCCUUCAGGGAGCCGGGAACCAGCCCUGCAUUCUGGUGCCCCUACCACCUGGCCCCCUUAGGGAAAAGAGCACACAAAGCCCCCUGUGUCUGCGCUGAGCUGCUCCCAGGGAGGCUGUGGGACGCAUGAAUGAGGCUAGGCUGGGGCCAGAAGAAAGGCCAGGCAGGAGAGUGUGGGGGUGCCCAGGUACAAGCAGAUCCUCUCCCACAGAUGGGAGGGGCCGAGGGCGGGAGACACCAGCUGGUCUGGUCUGGAAGGGAGGUCACCUGAUUCAGAACCCAGCCUGGUCCUGCACACGCCCCCUCCACUAUCACCGAGAAGCUGGUCCCACACUCAGCACCCUCUGUCCCAGCUGUCAACAGCAUCAUGUCUGUGAGCAAUGCAAGGAUGGAGUCAUCCCUGGUCCAUGAGAUCCUCAGCCACCUGGGCUUGGCCAACAAGACUGCAGCUUGGGGUACCUUGGGGACUCUGAGGCCAUUUUUGAGCUUCAACGUGGACAAGGAUGUACAACGGCUGCUAGAAGCUAUUGCAGGCCAAGGUGUGGAUCAGGGCACCAUAGUGAAUGUGCUGACCAACCGGAAUGGUGAACAAAGGCAACUUAUUGCCCGAGCCUUCCAGGAGCGCACCCAGCAGGACUUACUGAAAUCCUUGCAAGCAGCUCUUUCUGGGAGCUUGGAGAAGGUUGUGGUAGCACUGCUGAAGCCUGCAGCCCAAUAUGAUGCCCAUGAACUAAGGGCAGCACUGAAGGAUAUAAGUUCCGCUGAGGAUGUAGGAGUGGAAAUCCUUUCUACCCGUUCCCCACCCCAGCUACAGGAGUGUCUGACUGUCUACAAACGUGAUUUUGGGGUGGACAUUGAAGAUGAUAUGAGAUCAGAGACAAGCGGCCUCCUGAGGGAUCUGCUGCUAACGUUGGUUAAGGGAACUCGGGAGAGCUAUUCUGGGAUAAAGGAUUACAACCUGACAGAACAGGAUGCACAGACAUUACAUGAGGCUGGAGAAACAGGCACAGGGGCAACAUGGAUCACGAUUUUGACCCAACGAAAUACUGAACACCUCAACCGAGUGUUUGACGAAUACCAGAGACAUAAUGGUCAGGAGAUAGAGGAGGGCAUCCGGACCUGUUUUCAUGGAAAUGCCCAGAGUGCUCUUCUCACCCUAGCCUCUGUGAUCAGGAACACUCCACUGUACUUUGCUGAAAAACUCUACCAGGCUCUCCAGUAGGAGUGAUGGAUGGUUCCAUAUUUACAGCCUCUACUAAAAUCUUCCUCUGGUGCUUCAUUGUACUGUAGAGGUAAACCUGGGUUCUCCAGGCCUAUCCCACGGGAGCUCAAACACUGGCAUGGUCUACCUAGAUAUAAAGGCUUUGGAUAAGGACACAGGGGAGCUAUGUCUGUUGUUCAUAUUCAGGGAGCUGAGCCAAACUACCAAGUCUUGAUGCGCAUCCUCAUCUCUCGAAGCGAGACUGACCUCCUAAGCAUAAGAGCAGAGUUC